rnacentral:rRNA from 1 species
UAGGGAAUCUUCCGCAAUGGACGCAAGUCUGACGGAGCAACGCCGCGUGAGUGAAGAAGGAUUUCGGUUCGUAAAACUCUGUUGUUAGAGAAGAACAGCGCAUAGAGUAACUGUUAUGCGUGUGACGGUAUCUAACCAGAAAGCCACGGCUAACUACGUGCCAGCAGCCGCGGUAAUACGUAGGGCGCAAGCGUUAUCCGGAAUUAUUGGGCGUAAAGCGAGCGCAGGCGGUCAAUUAAGUCUGAUGUGAAAGCCCCCGGCUCAACCGGGGAGGGUCAUUGGAAACUGGUUGACUUGAGUGCAGAAGAGGAGAGUGGAAUUCCAUGUGUAGCGGUGAAAUGCGUAGAUAUAUGGAGGAACACCAGUGGCGAAGGCGACUCUCUGGUCUGUAACUGACGCUGAGGCUCGAAAGCGUGGGUAGCAAACAGG